GACGGAGGGGGCUAGCGUUGUUCGGAAUUACUGGGCGUAAAGGGCGCGUAGGCGGAUUAGUAAGUUGGGAGUGAAAGCCCGGGGCUUAACCUCGGAACUGCUUUCAAAACUGCUAGUCUUGAGUGAAGUAGGGGAUGAUGGAAUUCCUAGUGUAGAGGUGAAAUUCUUAGAUAUUAGGAGGAACACCGGUGGCGAAGGCGGUCAUCUGGACUUCAACUGACGCUGAGGCGCGAAAGCGUGGGGAGCAAACAGGAUUAGAUACCCUGGUAGUCCACGCCGUAAACGAUGAGUGCUAGAUAUCGGGAGUUUUUCUUUCGGUUUCGUAGUUAACACGUUAAGCACUCCGCCUGGGGAGUACGAUCGCAAGAUUAAA
rnacentral:rRNA from 1 species